CGAAGCUGCGGAUUUGUAGGAAUACAAGUGGUAGGGGAGCGUUCUAUGCAGCGUAGAAGCCAUAUCGUGAGGAGUGGUGGAGCGCAUAGAAGUGAGAAUGCCGGUGUGAGUAGCGAGAUGUAGGUGAGAAUCCUACACACCGAUAGCCCAAGGAUUCCAGGGGAAGGUUCGUCCGCCCUGGGUAAGUCGGGACCUAACGCGAGGCCGAAAGGCGUAGUGGAUGGAAAACAGGCAGAUAUUCCUGUACCCGCGAUGGAAAUGAAGGAAUGACGGAGAAGGCUAGUGUGAGCCACUGAAUGGAUUGUGGUCGAAGCAUAUAGCAGGCUGACAGUGAAAUGCGUCAGCGGGAUGUAAGAUGUGACAGGUAAGGGAACGUCCUUGGACAAGUACUGAAGCACAUGAUGCCAGCUUCCAAGAAAAGUUUCUAGUGAUAAUUCCAUAGCGGCCCGUACCAAAACCGACACAGGUGGGCAAGGAGAGGAUCCUGAGGUGAGCGAGAGAACUGUUGCCAAGGAACUCGGCAAAAUGACUCCGUAAGUUAGCGAUAAGGAGUGCUCUUGUAAAAGAGAGCCGCAGUGAAGAGGCCCAAGCGACUGUUUAACUAAAACACAGCUCUCUGCAAAGUCGCAAGACGAAGUAUAGGGGGUGACGCCUGCCCGGUGCUGGAAGGUUAAGAGGAUUUGUCAGUAGCGAUACGAAGCAAUGAAUUGAAGCCCCAGUGAACGGCGGCCGUAACUAUAACGGUCCUAAGGUAGCGAAAUUCCUUGUCAGGUAAGUUCUGACCCGCACGAAAGGCGUAACGAUUUGGGCGCUGUCUCGGCAGCAGACUCGGUGAAAUCUUAGUACCUGUGAAAAUGCAGGUUACCCGCAACUAGACGGAAAGACCCCAUGGAGCUUUACUGCAGCCUGAUAUUGAGUUUCGAUCAGAGAUGUACAGGAUAGGUGGGAGACAAAGAGACAUGCACGCCAGUGUAUGAGGAGUCGCUGUUGGGAUACCACUCUUGUCUGAUUGGAAUUCUAACCUGCAUCCCUAAGCGGGAUGAGGGACCGUGUCAGGUGGGCAGUUUGACUGGGGCGGUCGCCUCCCAAAGAGUAACGGAGGCGCCCAAAGGUACGCUCAGAUUGGAUGGAAAUCAAUCGACGAGUGCAAAUGCAGAAGCGUGCUUGACUGCGAGACAAACAGGUCGAGCAGGGACGAAAGUCGGGAUUAGUGAUCCGGCGGUGCCGAAUGGAAGGGCCGUCGCUCAACGGAUAAAAGCUACCCUGGGGAUAACAGGCUGAUCUCGCCCAAGAGUUCACAUCGACGGCGAGGUUUGGCACCUCGAUGUCGGCUCAUCGCAUCCUGGAGCUGAAUUCGGUUCCAAGGGUUGGGCUGUUCGCCCAUUAAAGCGGUACGCGAGCUGGGUUCAGAACGUCGUGAGACAGUUCGGUCCCUAUCUGUCGUGGGCGUAGGAAGUUUGAGAAGAUCUGUCCUCAGUACGAGAGGACCGGGAUGGACAUAUCAAUGGUGCACCAGUUGUCACGCCAGUGGCACAGCUGGGUAGCUAAAUAUGGAAGGGAUAAACGCUGAAGGCAUCUAAGUGUGAAACCCACUUCAAGAUGAGACUUCCCAUUACGCAAGUAAGUAAGACCCCUUAAAGACGAUAAGGUUGAUAGGUCAGGAGUGUAAGCAUGGCGACAUGUUCAGCGGACUGAUACUAAUAGGUCGAGGACUUAACCU
rnacentral:rRNA from 1 species